rnacentral:rRNA from 1 species
UACGUAGGGUGCAAGCGUUAAUCGGAAUUACUGGGCGUAAAGCGUGCGCAGGCGGUUUUGUAAGUCUGACGUGAAAUCCCCGGGCUCAACCUGGGAAUUGCGUUGGAGACUGCAAGGCUAGAAUCUGGCAGAGGGGGGUGGAAUUCCGCGUGUAGCAGUGAAAUGCGUAGAGAUGUGGAGGAACACCGAUGGCGAAGGCAGCCCCCUGGGUCAAGAUUGACGCUCAUGCACGAAAGCGUGGGGGAGCAAACAGG